GCUACCUCCACGAUUCGCUUGGCCAUUCUUGCUCCCCAGAUUUGAACCUAUAGCUAGCUCAGCUCAGUCACCCACACAGCUCUCUGCGAAUACGACACACAACCAACAGCACAAGCCAGCGCAAUGGAGCACGCGCAGGACGAGCUUAGCCUCGAGCUCACCCUGGCCGCCGCCGUCGUGGCGCCGGCGCCCGGCUUCUUCCUAUGCGUCUACUGCCACCGCAAGUUCCGCACCUCGCAGGCGCUCGGCGGCCACCAGAACGCGCACAAACAAGAGCGUGCCGACAAGCGCCGCCGGGAGAUUGCCGCUGCUACCGCACACGCUUGGAAGCCGGGGAGGGCUGCUGGCGCUGCUUGGGUGUCCAAGGAGCCCGCAGCACCAGGCGCCACAGCACACAAGCGCAGCAGGAUCUCGUCGGAGCGCGACCACGAGCUCGACUUGUCCCUCAGGCUAUAAUCGGUCUGCCAAUCGAUAGAUCUCUAGCAGCAUCCUUGCUCCGCACCCCUCUAUUUCCGGUGCUAGCGAAGUAAACUCCUCCCACCCACAAGGAGGCUAUAUAAAGAGCAGCUUUCAAAGGACAGACUACACCUAAGAGCCGAGCAAACCAGGCUGAGCUAGACUACCGAAGCAAACAUUUUCGAAAACUUCAGGAGGUUCGCCAUCUUGUCAGCUGCCAAGCGGCUGCACACCUGGUCUCCAUCCCUGUGCGCCGUGCGGUAAAUUUCACUUGCCAUCUGUUCGACUAGUCUUACCCCAGCAUGAGAAGUUUUUCCUCUGUUGUUUUUCCUGCAAAAUAGACAAAUACACGAUCGAGUUACACAUCAAUCUCUGCAGAAUCAUGGGAUCAUGAUUUUUUUUAAUAUGAUAUCAUUUUUGUAUUUCCAGAUAGACCAAAACAUCGCAGAAAUUCCAACCAGGACUAGCCGCCUGACAGAUUUUAGGAAAGUUUUGGACAAAUUACCAAAGCAAUCAUUCAAAUUCAAGGAGAUCAUCUCAAAUCAAAAGCACAUUUCCAUAAACUUCAUACGAGUCUGGCAGCAGAACAAUAAGAAAAUUAAUG